rnacentral:snRNA from 1 species
UUAGCUCUCUCUUGCCAUUUGGCUGAGAUCAAGUUGAAGUAACUGUUCUUCUUAGUUUAAUCUCUAGGACGUGCCUACGGGUGAACUAGUGAUUAAGCCAGUUUUUGGAAACAGUGCUGGUAGUCACUGGGCCCCGCCCAUACUCUGGCUCAUGGUGUCGCCAGUAUUGCACUACUGCUGGCUGACGCGAUAUACU